rnacentral:rRNA from 1 species
AGAGUUUGAUCAUGGCUCAGAUUGAACGCUGGCGGCAUGCUUUACACAUGCAAGUCGAACGGCAGCACGGGGUGGUAACACCCUGGUGGCGAGUGGCGAACGGGUGAGUAAUAUAUCGGAACAUGUCCGGAAGUGGGGGGAUAGCUCGGCGAAAGCCGGAUUAAUACCGCAUAUGCCCUGAGGGGGAAAGCGGGGGAUCUUAGGACCUCGCGCUUUCGGAGUGGCCGAUAUCGGAUUAGCUAGUUGGUGGGGUAAAGGCUUACCAAGGCGACGAUCCGUAGCUGGUCUGAGAGGACGACCAGCCACACUGGAACUGAGACACGGUCCAGACUCCUACGGGAGGCAGCAGUGGGGAAUUUUGGACAAUGGGGGAAACCCUGAUCCAGCCAUGCCGCGUGAGUGAAGAAGGCCUUCGGGUUGUAAAGCUCUUUUAGACGGAAAGAAACGGUCACGGUGAAUAUCCGUGACUAAUGACGGUACCGUCAGAAAAAGCACCGGCUAACUACGUGCCAGCAGCCGCGGUAAUACGUAGGGUGCGAGCGUUAAUCGGAAUUACUGGGCGUAAAGCGUGCGCAGGCGGUUUUGUAAGACAGGUGUGAAAUCCCCGGGCUUAGCCUGGGAACUGCAUUUGUGACUGCAAGGCUAGAGUGCGGCAGAGGGGGGUAGAAUUCCACGUGUAGCAGUGAAAUGCGUAGAUAUGUGGAGGAAUACCGAUGGCGAAGGCAGCCCCCUGGGUCGACACUGACGCUCAUGCACGAAAGCGUGGGGAGCAAACAGGAUUAGAUACCCUAGUAGUCC